AAAUUUUCAGUCGAAGCGGAGGAAGGGAGGGUGAUGAGGAUGAUGUUGGGCUCUCAGGCUCAGACCGUUCCAUUUCUCUCGGACGUUUCUGCUAUCAUCACCUCCUCCUCCUCCUCCUCCUCCGCCUCUUCUUCUUCUUCUUCGACAGCGAUUCCAUGUCUGACGAGACGGAGAGCGACCAUUAUCAGUCCCCUAGUUGGAGUUGGAGUGUCCUCUUUGCUAAGUCUCUGCAGUUCCCAUCUCCAGUAUCCUUCGUGCCGUCCGGCAUUGGCCGAGCAGAAGCCGAAGGACGACCUUCAGCAAGAAGAGGAUCGCGUCGUCAGCAUCUUUCAGGAGACUUCGCCCUCCGUCGUUUUCAUUAAGGACUUGGAGAUAGCUAAAAGCUCCAAGGGCUCUUCAGGCGAAGCCAUGCCUAUUGAGGAUAAAGAUGCUAAAGUUGAGGGCACAGGUUCUGGCUUCAUUUGGGAUAAGUUUGGUCACAUUGUUACUAAUUACCAUGUCAUCGCCAAGUUGGCCACAGAUCAAAGUGGGUUACAGCGUUGUAAGGUGUUCCUAGUAGAUGCAACAGGCAAUAGCUUUGUCCGAGAAGGCAAAAUUGUGGGGUUUGAUCCUGCAAAUGAUCUGGCUGUCUUGAAGGUCGACAUUGAUGGACAUCAAGUAAAACCUGUUGUUCUUGGGACUUCCCGUGAUCUUCGCGUAGGUCAGAGCUGCUUUGCAAUUGGAAAUCCAUUUGGAUAUGAAAACACGCUCACAACUGGGGUGGUUAGUGGAUUGGGGAGGGAGAUCCCCUCACCAAAUGGAAGGGCUAUUCGAGGAGCUAUACAGACUGAUGCAGCAAUUAAUUCUGGGAAUUCAGGAGGGCCAUUGAUAGAUUCGUUUGGCCAUGUGGUAGGAGUCAACACAGCAACUUUUACUCGCAUAGGGACGGGGUUGUCCUCCGGCGUUAACUUCGCAAUUCCAGUUGACGCCGUGGUCCGAACAGUUCCUUACUUGAUAGUUUAUGGAACACCAUAUAGUAACAGAUUCUGAUCUCUAGUCUGUUGGGAUCGUAUCUACUGGUCAUUUCUCAGUUCAAAGUGUUCACUGUAGCUGUUCUCAGAGUUAUGGACAAAGUGCAACCUUCUUUGGCCGGCUUGAGACCUGUCCUAUUUAGUAUAUUGAGGGCACAUGUUUCUAUGGUCAAAGAUCAAAUUCUUUAUGGUGGUACUCUUAUAGGAUGGAGACGUACCCAUAUAAAGUGACCGUGAUAUUGUUAACCAA